rnacentral:rRNA from 1 species
CACGUGGGGCGCGAGCGUUGUCCGGAAUUAUUGGGCGUAAAGAGCUCGUAGGCGGCCUGUUGCGUCCGCUGUGAAAGCCCGGGGCUUAACCCCGGGUCGGCAGUGGAUACGGGCAGGCUAGAGGUAGGUAGGGGAGAAUGGAAUUCCCGGUGUAGCGGUGAAAUGCGUAGAUAUCUGGAGGAACACCGGUGGCGAAGGCGGCAUCCUGGACCAUUACUGACGCUGAGGAGCGAAAGCCAGGGGAGCAAACGGG